GUAUCCUAUAUGCAGAAUCCCAAUGGUCAAACAUUAAGAUAGUAGGAUUGGUUAUGUAACUUUGAUGGGGUGACUGAUAAUUGUAACUUGCUGGGCUGGUCUUGAUUUUAUUGUAUUGAGUUGGUUCUGCAUUAGUUUGGACACAUGUGCACACUAUUGUAUCUAAUGUUGGAGUUGAAGGUGUUGUUGUUGCUGGAAAACUUUAGGAACAGAAUAAUUCUAAUCUUGGUUAUGAUGCCAACAAAGCUUUGUAAUUAGGUGAAUAUGUAGAUAUGGUUAAGUCUAAAAUUAUUGAUCCAUUGAAGGUGGUUAGGACCUUCUUGGUUGACAUAACCAGUGUAUCGUCUUUGAUGAUAACAACCGAAGUUAUUGUUUCUGAACUCCCAAAAGAAGAUAAAGACAGUCCUACAAUGCCUGACAACAUGGGUGGUAUGGAUUAUUAGCUGCUAUGAAGACUUGAAUUAAAGUGGUGUUUCGCCACUAUUAUAGCCUCUCUUUUUAUAUUUGACAUAAGGCAUUCAUGUAAUCAUAAUGAGAGAUGAAAGUUGUAGGUGGGAAGAUUUGUGAUUGUUAUUGUAUAUGAUAUGAUUGAGAUAUUCAGAAUAAUUUGCAUUCCAAAAUAGUUAGGAAUUAUUCCCUUCAUAAGUUGUCAAA